rnacentral:lncRNA from 1 species
CAGAGAGCGGGGAGCAUUCACACAUGAACAAGUCUUCCUCUGAGAACUGGAAGCUGAAGCCUUCAUCAGAUAAAUGGCGUGCAUACAGGAGUAAGGAGCUGCCUGGAUCCAGAGGGCUGUGAGGACUGCAGCACAGAGCUGCCUGUGGAUACGUUUGCUGAGCCAUUUCAGGGGCAGGGAGGAGAGCUGAACUGAAUAAAAGCAGUCCCAUCUCUCAGAAGAACAUCUGGGUUUGAACAGUUUGGAACAGCCAGAGGUACCAGUAAAGGAGGCAGCGGCUGGCAGUGCCUCAUGGUUUCCUAACACCACUUCUCUGGGAUACAGGCACAGGACUGUGGGGCAAGAGGAACAGAGGCAGGACAGGAGGAGAAGCAGCGAGGGACGCCCAGGGAAAGCAGUGAUAAGGAGAGCUGCUGUGCUGGGGUGGUGCAUCCACACUUGCUCCUUGGCAGCUUCUGAUGAGUGCAGGAAAACAGCAAUUGUAGCAUGUGGCUCUGCUCCACCUCUGAACGCCUUUAUGCUAAGAAGAGGUGAGUGCUGAGUUCUCUUUUUC